GUGUCAGCCGCCGCGGUAAUACGGAGGGUGCUAGCGUUGUUCGGAAUUACUGGGCGUAAAGAGCGCGUAGGCGGCUAUGUAAGUUGGAAGUGAAAUCCCGAAGCUUAACUUCGGAACUGCUUUCAAGACUGCAUAGCUAGAAAUUGGUAGAGGAUAGUGGAAUUCCUAGUGUAGAGGUGAAAUUCGUAGAUAUUAGGAGGAACACCGGAGGCGAAAGCGACUAUCUGGGCCAAAUUUGACGCUGAGGCGCGAAAGCGUGGGGAGCAAACAGGAUUAGAUACCCUGGUAGUCCACGCUGUAAACGAUGAAUGCUAGAUAUCAGAGCUUAGGUUCUGGUGUCGAAGUUAACACAUUAAGCAUUCCGCCUGAGGAGUACGAUCGCAAGAUUAAAACUCAAAUAAAUUGACGG
rnacentral:rRNA from 1 species